GUAGGGAAUCUUCCGCAAUGGGCGAAAGCCUGACGGAGCAACGCCGCGUGAGUGAUGAAGGUCUUCGGAUCGUAAAACUCUGUUAUUAGGGAAGAACAUAUGUGUAAGUAACUGUGCACAUCUUGACGGUACCUAAUCAGAAAGCCACGGCUAACUACGUGCCAGCAGCCGCGGUAAUACGUAGGUGGCAAGCGUUAUCCGGAAUUAUUGGGCGUAAAGCGCGCGUAGGCGGUUUUUUAAGUCUGAUGUGAAAGCCCACGGCUCAACCGUGGAGGGUCAUUGGAAACUGGAAAACUUGAGUGCAGAAGAGGAAAGUGGAAUUCCAUGUGUAGCGGUGAAAUGCGCAGAGAUAUGGAGGAACACCAGUGGCGAAGGCGACUUUCUGGUCUGUAACUGACGCUGAUGUGCGAAAGCGUGGGGAUCAA
rnacentral:rRNA from 1 species